rnacentral:rRNA from 1 species
UGGGGAAUAUUGAGCAAUGGGCGCAAGCCUGACCCAGCCACGCCGCGUGAGUGAUGAAGGCCUUCGGGUCGUAAAGCUCUGUGGGGAAGGACGAAAAAACAUUGGCUAAUAUCCAAUGGCUUGACGGUACUUCCUUAGCAAGCACCGGCUAACUCUGUGCCAGCAGCCGCGGUAAUACAGAGGGUGCAAACGUUGCUCGGAGUUACUGGGCGUAAAGGGCUCGUAGGUGGCCAACUAAGUCAGACGUGAAAUCCCUCGGCUUAACCGGGGAACUGCGUCUGAUACUGGAUGGCUUGAGUUUGGGAGAGGGACGCGGAAUUCCAGGUGUAGCGGUGAAAUGCGUAGAUAUCUGGAGGAACACCGGUGGCGAAGGCGGCGUCCUGGACCAAUACUGACACUGAGGAGCGAAAGCCAGGGGAGCAAACGGGAUUAGAUACCCUAGUAGUCCCUGAGCGGGCUGGCAAGGCGCAU